CUACGGGUUGCUGCAGUGGGGAAUAUUGCACAAUGGAGGAAACUCUGAUGCAGCAACGCCGCGUGGAGGAUGACACUUUUCGGAGCGUAAACUCCUUUUAUAUAGGAAGAUAAUGACGGUACUAUAUGAAUAAGCACCGGCUAACUCCGUGCCAGCAGCCGCGGUAAUACGGAGGGUGCAAGCUGUUACUCGGAAUCACUGGGCGUAAAGAGCGUGUAGGCGGGUUAAUAAGUCAGAAGUGAAAUCCUAUGGCUCAACCAUAGAACUGCUUUUGAAACUGUUAACCUAGAGUGUGGGAGAGGUAGAUGGAAUUUCUGGUGUAGGGGUAAAAUCCGUAGAGAUCAGAAGGAAUACCGAUUGCGAAGGCGAUCUACUGGAACAUAACUGACGCUGAGACGCGAAAGCGUGGGGAGCAAACAGGAUUAGAUACCCUAGUAGUC
rnacentral:rRNA from 1 species